rnacentral:tRNA from 1 species
CGGGGUGUGGCUCAGCUUGGCUAGAGCGCCUGGUUUGGGACCAGGAGGUCGCGGGUUCGAAUCCUGUCACCCCGA